rnacentral:rRNA from 1 species
GUUAACUCGAAGAGGCUCGCGUCCCUUUACACACCCUUUGUAUGUCUUAAGAAUGUCUACUCGAUGUAAUAAAACGCAUCUAAUACAACUUUCAACAACGGAUCUCUUGGCUCUCGCAUCGAUGAAGAACGCAGCGAAAUGCGAUAAGUAAUGUGAAUUGCAGAAUUCAGUGAAUCAUCGAAUCUUUGAACGCACCUUGCGCCCUUUGGUAUUCCGAAGGGCACACCUGUUUGAGUGUCGUGAAAUUCUCAACCCUCUUCACUUUUGUGAACGUAGUGGAUUGGACUUGGAGGCUUUGCCGGGCUUCACCGCUCGGCUCCUCUCAAAUGCAUUAGUGCGUCUUGUUGCGACGUGCGCCUCGGUGUGAUAAUUAUCUACGCUGUGGUGUGCUUGCUUCUGUGGAGACGCGCUUUCUAACCGUCCGAAAGGACAGCUUUCAUCGAACUUUGACCUCAAAUCAGGUGGGACUACCCGCUGAACUUAAGCAUAUCAAUAAGCGGAGGAAAAGAAACUAACAAGGAUUCCCCUAGUAACUGCGAGUGAAGCGGGAAAAGCUCAAAUUUAAAAUCUGGCGGUCUUCUGGCCGUCCGAGUUGUAGUCUGGAGAAGCGUUUUCCGCGUUGGACCGUGUACAAGUUUCCUGGAACGGAGCGUCA